GGAUGAACGCUGGCGGCGUGCCUAAUACAUGCAAGUCGAGCGAACAGACGAGGAGCUUGCUCCUCUGACGUUAGCGGCGGACGGGUGAGUAACACGUGGAUAACCUACCUAUAAGACUGGGAUAACUUCGGGAAACCGGAGCUAAUACCGGAUAAUAUAUUGAACCGCAUGGUUCAAUAGUGAAAGACGGUUUUGCUGUCACUUAUAGAUGGAUCCGCGCCGCAUUAGCUAGUUGGUAAGGUAACGGCUUACCAAGGCAACGAUGCGUAGCCGACCUGAGAGGGUGAUCGGCCACACUGGAACUGAGACACGGUCCAGACUCCUACGGGAGGCAGCAGUAGGGAAUCUUCCGCAAUGGGCGAAAGCCUGACGGAGCAACGCCGCGUGAGUGAUGAAGGUCUUCGGAUCGUAAAACUCUGUUAUUAGGGAAGAACAAAUGUGUAAGUAACUAUGCGCGUCUUGACGGUACCUAAUCAGAAAGCCACGGCUAACUACGUG
rnacentral:rRNA from 1 species